UGUCGAUUGGCAGAGGCGAGCUUGCAGACUGACUGAAAGCUUUGAGAGAUUUCGUGGAUCACUAUAUUCCCCACCUUCUAUAUUUUCCCUCUCCUACCACGGAAAAUCGGUGAACAUGAAGAAAAGGAGAGAGAGAGAGAGGGAGAGAGAGAGAGAGAGAAGAGUAGUAGAUGGUCGAAUAGUGGUAGAUGGUGGAUGGUGGAAUGGAAGUUAUUUUGGUAACUUAGGGAGCCAAGAAUGGGCAGGGAUAGUUUUAACGGCACUGUUUUCUCAUUCUGUAGUGAUUUUAAUAGUGGUAGGAGAUCUGACGAUUGCGCUGACGCGUCAGAGAAGAUAUAAGAGACAAAUUUCCUGAUAUACACCGUACCUUGAAUUCGGAGAGAGAAGCCAUUAAAUCGUCAAGCUCCUUGGUAGCGUUGCUGGCGGUGUGACCAUUGGUAUAACUCUUCUGGGCCUCGCUGCGAUUCAACGAUCCGUGCUGUCUAGGAGGAUAACCAUCGUACACGGGUUGCACCUCCGUGGACGUUUCUUGAAUGGAAUAAAAGGGAAACGCUUACCCGUUUGGUACCGCGGUGCUCAAUUCUUCGAGCAACGAAUCGACGGUGGGCCUUGAAGCUGACAUGCUACUCGGAGAACGAAGCAUCGGACUAGAAUCACCAUUCAUUCCUCCCGAGGAAA